rnacentral:rRNA from 1 species
AACGAACGCUGGCGGCAUGCCUAACACAUGCAAGUCGAACGAGACCUUCGGGUCUAGUGGCGCACGGGUGCGUAACGCGUGGGAACCUGCCUUUAGGUUCGGAAUAACUCAGGGAAAUUUGAGCUAAUACCGGAUGAUGUCUUCGGACCAAAGAUUUAUCGCCUUUAGAUGGGCCCGCGUUGGAUUAGCUAGUUGGUGGGGUAAAGGCCUACCAAGGCGACGAUCCAUAGCUGGUCUGAGAGGAUGAUCAGCCACACUGGGACUGAGACACGGCCCAGACUCCUACGGGAGGCGGCAGUGGGGAAUAUUGGACAAUGGGCGAAAGCCUGAUCCAGCAAUGCCGCGUGAGUGAUGAAGGCCUUAGGGUUGUAAAGCUCUUUUACCCGAGAUGAUAAUGACAGUAUCGGGAGAAUAAGCUCCGGCUAACUCCGUG